rnacentral:rRNA from 1 species
UGAGGGCUAGCUACAGGCUUAACACAUGCAAGUCGAGGGGCAGCAUGGUCUUAGCUUGCUAAGGCCGAUGGCGACCGGCGCACGGGUGAGUAACACGUAUCCAACCUGCCGUCUACUCUUGGACAGCCUUCUGAAAGGAAGAUUAAUACAAGAUGGCAUCAUGAGUCCGCAUGUUCACAUGAUUAAAGGUAUUCCGGUAGACGAUGGGGAUGCGUUCCAUUAGAUAGUAGGCGGGGUAACGGCCCACCUAGUCUUCGAUGGAUAGGGGUUCUGAGAGGAAGGUCCCCCACAUUGGAACUGAGACACGGUCCAAACUCCUACGGGAGGCAGCAGUGAGGAAUAUUGGUCAAUGGGCGAGAGCCUGAACCAGCCAAGUAGCGUGAAGGAUGACUGCCCUAUGGGUUGUAAACUUCUUUUAUAAAGGAAUAAAGUCGGGUAUGGAUACCCGUUUGCAUGUACUUUAUGAAUAAGGAUCGGCUAACUCCGUGCCAGCAGCCGCGGUAAUACGGAGGAUCCGAGCGUUAUCCGGAUUUAUUGGGUUUAAAGGGAGCGUAGAUGGAUGUUUAAGUCAGUUGUGAAAGUUUGCGGCUCAACCGUAAAAUUGCAGUUGAUACUGGAUAUCUUGAGUGCAGUUGAGGCAGGCGGAAUUCGUGGUGUAGCGGUGAAAUGCUUAGAUAUCACGAAGAACUCCGAUUGCGAAGGCAGCCUGCUAAGCUGCAACUGACAUUGAGGCUCGAAAGUGUGGGUAUCAAACAGGAUUAGAUACCCUGGUAGUCCACACGGUAAACGAUGAAUACUCGCUGUUUGCGAUAUACAGCAAGCGGCCAAGCGAAAGCGUUAAGUAUUCCACCUGGGGAGUACGCCGGCAACGGUGAAACUCAAAGGAAUUGACGGGGGCCCGCACAAGCGGAGGAACAUGUGGUUUAAUUCGAUGAUACGCGAGGAACCUUACCCGGGCUUAAAUUGCAGAUGAAUUACGGUGAAAGCCGUAAGCCGCAAGGCAUCUGUGAAGGUGCUGCAUGGUUGUCGUCAGCUCGUGCCGUGAGGUGUCGGCUUAAGUGCCAUAACGAGCGCAACCCUUGUUGUCAGUUACUAACAGGUUCCGCUGAGGACUCUGACAAGACUGCCAUCGUAAGAUGUGAGGAAGGUGGGGAUGACGUCAAAUCAGCACGGCCCUUACGUCCGGGGCUACACACGUGUUACAAUGGGGGGUACAGAGGGCCGCUACCACGCGAGUGGAUGCCAAUCCCAAAAACCUCUCUCAGUUCGGACUGGAGUCUGCAACCCGACUCCACGAAGCUGGAUUCGCUAGUAAUCGCGCAUCAGCCACGGCGCGGUGAAUACGUUCCCGGGCCUUGUACACACCGCCC